rnacentral:rRNA from 1 species
AGGACGAACGCUGGCGGCGUGCUUAACACAUGCAAGUCGAGCGGUAAGGCCCUUUCGGGGUACACGAGCGGCGAACGGGUGAGUAACACGUGGGUAACCUGCCCUGUACUUUGGGAUAAGCCCGGGAAACUGGGUCUAAUACCGGAUACGACUGCCUACCGCAUGGUGGGUGGUGGAAAGUUCUGGCGGUACAGGAUGGGCCCGCGGCCUAUCAGCUUGUUGGUGGGGUGAUGGCCUACCAAGGCGACGACGGGU